rnacentral:misc_RNA from 1 species
UUUCCGUAGGUGAACCUGCGGAAGGAUCAUUGUCGAAACCUGCCCAGCAGAACGACCCGCGAACUUGUAUAAACAACCGGGGGCGGGGGGCGUUCUCGCCCCGUGCCCCCGAACGGCGGGGAGACACUCGUGCCUUCUUGCCGAACAACGAACCCCGGCGCGAUCUGCGCCAAGGAACUUCAACUAAAGAGUGCCUCCGGUCGCCUCGGAAACGGCGUGCGUGCCGGGGGCGAAUCUUGUGCAAAACCAUAACGACUCUCGGCAACGGAUAUCUCGGCUCUC